AGCUUCGCAGUGAGAAAAUUCUUGGAAAUCAGGAUGGUGAGAGAUGCGCCGCAGGAAUACGUAUAUGAUACUUAUUGUGUUCCUCUGGAACCCUGUCCAAGAAGAACGGCUACUGGAUUAGUGCCUCUGAGUUGUCAAUCCCCUAAGAAAAAAUUAUGCAGCAGCCCGGGACUAUUCCAGGAAUCUGUCCAUACUUUUAAGUGCAUCCAUGUUGUGUUUAUUACAGUGAAGAUUGCUUUCAGGGGAAUACUUAUAAUACUGAUAAUUAGUGUAUCACUUUGUUAUUAUGGCUUUCAGAUUAUGACAUUGACCUCAGACUGAUAGAUAUUGCUUUUUUCUCAUCUGUAUUGUUUAAUCAAAGACCCCUUACUGUUGCACAUUA